rnacentral:rRNA from 1 species
UCGAGAAUAUUCGACAAUGGGCGAAAGCCUGAUCGAGCGACGCCGCGUGCGGGAUGAAGGCCUUCGGGUCGUAAACCGCGGUAGUAAGGGAGGAAUGCAAAUGACUGUACCUUACGGAAAGAGGUGGGUAACUACGUGCCAGCACCAGCGGUAAUACGUAGACCUCAAGCGUUAUCCGGAUUUAUUGGGCGUAAAGAGCAUGUAGGAGGCCUCGUGCGUCUCUGGUUAAAUUCCACCGCCUAACGGUGGACCUGCCAGAGAUACGGCGAAGCUAGAGGAGGUUAGAGGUGCAUGGAACUCACGGUGUAGGGGUGAAAUCCGUUGAUAUCGUGGGGAACACCAAAGGCGAAGGCAGUGCACUGGGACCUUCCUGACUCUGAGAUGCGAAAGCGUGGGGAGCAAAAAGGAUUAGAUACCCCCGUAGUCC